UACUCCUACGGGAGGCAGCAGAGAGGAAUAUUGGUCAAUGGUCGCGAGACUGAACCAGCCAAGUAGCGUGCAGGAUGACGGCCCUCUGGGUUGUAAACUGCUUUUAGUUGGGAAUAAAAGGCGGUACGUGUACCGCGUAUUGUAUGUACCAUCAGAAAAAGGACCGGCUAAUUCCGUGCCAGCAGCCGCGGUAAU
rnacentral:rRNA from 1 species